UGUUGUUUGUUAGCUGACCGCUGUGAGGCGCUAUUGCAUCACUAUCUUUAUUAUAGGCAGACACAAAACCAGUUCACUUCAGUGUAACCACAGUAUGCGUUUUCCUGACGUCACGAUGACCUGCCAACCAAACCACACCCUUCACUUCACUAUAAGUCCCGCCCCUGAGUGUAGGCACGCGCAGUCAGCGGGGAGUCGGGGACGAGCCUGUAUUGCUCCGCUGUGGAGCCAGGCGAGAAAAAGUCUCGCUGUUAAACCCCAGUGAGCUCAAACCAACAGGCGAGUCGACAUCCCGCUGCGUUACGUAUUUUGGAUCAAAUCUCGGAGAUUCUCCACAGUUUUGUUAAAGAUGAAAUUAAUUUCCACUGUCUUCGUAUUAGUUAACUUUGCAUCGGUUUCAGUCGUUGCUGAUGGGUCAAAGAUCGAGGCAAACCAUGGAGAAGAUGUUACACUGUGCUUCCCAAUGGAUAAAGCAGAGGAAGCCGAUAAAUUGUGGAUAAUUUUUACAUCAGAAUCUACGAAUAAGACUCGUUUGAUCGCACAGCGCUGUUCCGGUUCUGAAAUCUGUGAUCUUGUGGAAGAACCUGGAGUCAAACUGAUGGUUGGAGGAGGACUCGUGUCUGUAACCAUUCAGAAAGUGAACAGCUCCAGAUCAGGACUUUAUAAAGCACGAGCCUUCAAUGGAAAGUACGUGUGUGAGAGGAAUGCUACACUUGUUGUCAACGAAGCCCCAGUUGCCUCCACUACAGCUCCACCUCACACUUCAACCACAAAACCGCCCGACUCCUCUAAUUUCCUCUGGCUGUGUGCUGUAAUUCCUGUAGUCUUUGUCAUCUUGUUGGUCGUUUGCUUCUGUAAACGCA